CGGACGGGUGAGUAACGCGUAGGAACCUGUCGUGCAGUGGGGGAUACCAGCGGGAAACCGCUGCUAAUACCGCAUGUGAUCAGCAAUGAUGAAAGCCGAAAGGCGCUGGAUGAGGGGCCUGCGUCCGAUUAGCUGGUUGGUGGGGUAAGGGCCUACCAAGGCGACGAUCGGUAGCUGGUCUGAGAGGAUGGUCAGCCACACUGGGACUGAGACACGGCCCAG
rnacentral:rRNA from 1 species